rnacentral:tRNA from 1 species
AGUAGUGUGGCUCAGUGGAAAGAGCCUGGGCUUCGGAGUCAGAGGUCAUGGGUUCGAUCCCCGGCUCUGCCA